CAUUACCGAGUUUACAACUCCCAAACCCCUGUGAACAUACCAAUUGUUGCCUCGGCGGAUCAGCCCGCUCCCGGUAAAACGGGACGGCCCGCCAGAGGACCCCUAAACUCUGUUUCUAUAUGUAACUUCUGAGUAAAACCAUAAAUAAAUCAAAACUUUCAACAACGGAUCUCUUGGUUCUGGCAUCGAUGAAGAACGCAGCAAAAUGCGAUAAGUAAUGUGAAUUGCAGAAUUCAGUGAAUCAUCGAAUCUUUGAACGCACAUUGCGCCCGCCAGUAUUCUGGCGGGCAUGCCUGUUCGAGCGUCAUUUCAACCCUCAAGCCCAGCUUGGUGUUGGGACUCGCGAGUUAAAUCGCGUUCCCCAAAUUGAUUGGCGGUCACGUCGAGCUUCCAUAGCGUAGUAGUAAAACCCUCGUUACUGGUACUCGUCGCGGCCACGCCGUUAAACCCCAACUUCUGAAUGUUGACCUCGGAUCAGGUAGGAAUACCCGCUGAACUUAAGCAUAUCAAUAA
rnacentral:rRNA from 1 species